rnacentral:rRNA from 1 species
ACACCCGUUCUCAUUCCGAACACGGCAGUUAAGCCCUCCAGGGCCGAUGAUACUAUGACCGCGAGGUCAUGGGAAAGUAGGACGUUGCCGGGA